UUGAAUGAGCAGCUGCCCGUCUCACGAUGUUGACCAAUUGGGGAAAACUAAGGCACAGUAAUGUAACCUAUCAGGUUAGGGGGAGGGACCUUUAUUAGGCAGGUUGAUGAGAAGAAGGCAAUACUGUACUUGAAAAAGAUAUGGGGUGUAAUGGCGGCGCUUCACGGAAGAUUCUUGGAUGAAACAUGGACGCUGUUCCGUUAGCUUCUCUGUUCUGGAAGCCUUGUGCUCAUAAUGGCCAAAUGUUUCUGCAUUGAAUUCUUGAUAGGCUUUGAUGGGCUGCCAAGUACCGCUGCACCAGAAGCCUGGUAGACUUCACUCAUUGCAUGAGGUUCAUCUCCAUCCCACGUGCAGACAACGGAAAGCCGGAAACUUCAUUGGUUUGGACAGAAGAGGGUUUGCGUCGGAUCAUCUAGGAUGACUGUGGGCUUUUAAGGUAACUGAGACUACACAUUAGGAAAACCACACCUAUGAGCUCCAACAAGUGCACCAAUAAAGUAUUACAAUCAAGUAGUCAUAAAGGACUAAAAAUUCCGGAUAUUUCUGUUUAACAGUAAGUGGUAUGAUUGGGCAAUAUAUGUCUUUUUUUCUAUGAUCAUAAAUAUCGUUAUUCUCAUGAGUUUAAAAUUCAGGUUUGAUUGAUUUUAAAUCAAGGCUGCAAGUUAUCGGUUACCCUUUGAUUUUAUUGCAUUUAUGGGAGGUUGUCGUCUCUGUAAAUAUUGACUAGCUAAACUAUUCUAAGCAUC